AUUGAACGCUGGCGGCAGGCUUAACACAUGCAAGUCGAGCGGAGCGAGGGUGCUUGCACCUUAGCUUAGCGGCGGACGGGUGAGUAAUGCUUAGGAAUCUGCCUAUUAGUGGGGGACAACAUUCCGAACGGACUGCUAAUACCGCAUACGCCCUACGGGGGAAAGCAGGGGAUCCUCGGACCUUGCUCUAAUAGCUGAGCCUAAGUCGGAUUAGCUAGUGGGUGGGGUAAAGGCCUACCAAGGCGACGAUCUGUAGCGGGUCUGAGAGGAUGAUCCGCCACACUGGGACUGAGACACGGCCCAGACUCCUACGGGAGGCAGCAGUGGGGAAUAUUGGACAAUGGGCGGAAGCCUGAUCCAGCCAUGCCGCGUGUGUGAAGAAGGCCUUUUGGUUGUAAAGCACUUUAAGCGAGGAGGAGGCUACUUAGAUUAAUACUCUGGGAUAGUGGACGUUACUCGCAGAAUAAGCACCGGCUAACUCUGUGCCAGCCGCCGCCGUAA
rnacentral:rRNA from 1 species